UACGUAGGGGGCUAGCGUUGCUCGGAAUCACUGGGCGUAAAGCGCACGUAGGCGGAUUGCUAAGUCAGGGGUGAAAUCCUGGAGCUCAACUCCAGAACUGCCUUUGAUACUGGCGACCUUGAGUCCGGGAGAGGUGAGUGGAACUGCGAGUGUAGAGGUGAAAUUCGUAGAUAUUCGCAAGAACACCAGUGGCGAAGGCGGCUCACUGGCCCGGUACUGACGCUGAGGUGCGAAGCGUGGGGAGCAAACAGGA
rnacentral:rRNA from 1 species